AACAACAAAAGAAAGUUGUGAGAUAACCAACCAGCGGAACAAACAAACAGUAAACGAACUUAUGAACAUUGAGGCAGUGUAAUCAGUGAUGAAGAACGGAUUUUCCCUAGGUAGAAGAAAAUUGAUAAAUUAAAUAACUUUAAGCAGAGAAAUCAUCAUAUGUAUUUGGGGUAUUAGCCUGUAAAUACUCGAACUUUUUCCAUUUUCUGGUUUUGCACCUCAACUUACCUGAACUCUGUGUUCUUUCUGAUUUUGCACCCAACGAAAGUUUUACCCCCAAUCGACAUGGCAGCCGAAUUGACAUCCUAAACCCAACAAUUAUAUAUUCUAGAUCCCACAUUGACAACAAACUUAUCUGCUUCAUUAUGCACUUCAAACUUUCCUCUCAAUCCGGUUGUCAUGUUAGCAACGAUUUUGGGGUAAAAAUUCGUCGGGUCCAAAAUCAGAAAGAAUACAAAGUUCAUUAUAGGCAGAUUUUAAAGUUGGGAUGCAAGACCAAAAAAUGGGAAAAGUUCGAGUAUUUACAUGCCAAUACCCCUAUGUAUUUACAUACAUAUUAUGCUAGAGUAGAUCCUUUAGCAGACACGAAUAUGACUCCUAAUUCAAAAAUAAAAGAUGAAAAGAUUAUCAAAAGUAUGGUUGAAAUAAAUUACUUGUUAUAGUAGCAACUGUAAAUUGUUAAGCGGGCAUUUACUUUUGAGGAUUAGUCUCGAUAGAUGUAAAUAGUAAGAUUGUUUACUUAGAUGGAUUAAAACUUUGGAAUAUCACAAGGCCCUUAAUUAUUUCUAUCAUUUAAGCUAAUUUUGCUUGAUUCAUAUCCCAUUGAAAGGGUAGGAUUAGAGAAAUCCUACUCUUUUGAGGAUAAAAAUACUCAAUCAUGCACCUCAUCAAUCAUGCAAAUUAAACGCCUCCUAAGAGUCUCAAUUAGAUAUAUAACGUAACUGUUAAUCAUUCUCCAUCAACAACACAUAGUUUUGCAUAAACUAUCUACCACAGCUAAAAAAACUCAAAAUCUCCUGUAAAAGUGUUUAUAAGUGUUCAGUCUUCCAUUAAUACAAAUUUCCGAGUAAGAGAGAGAAGUUUAUUGAUGCUAAGCAUUGCCUCAGGCAACUAAAAAGUGAAAAACAUUAGCUAAUACCUCAUCUUCCUGCAGCUGUUUAUUGAUGCUAAGCAGCGCCUCUGUCAACUCAAGCUCUUCGGCGCUAAACCUGAGCUCCUCUAAACGUUUAACAAUCUCAUCCUCAUGAAUUUCAUCAUUGUGCGAAUUCGAAGCCUUUUCACCAGCAGAUGCAGAAGCCUCUUCUUUUCCAUCUACACCGCCGGAAUUUGGAACAAGUUGAGGUUCUGAGCUAGAACCCUCAUGCUGUUGGUUCCAAUUCGUAUCUCCUUGAUCCUGAGGGCGUUUUCGAUGCAAACUGGAGCAGGAUUCUGGUGAUGAAGAGGUUUCACUGGAGUGGCGAUCAACAAGGGAUCUAACAGUCCAGUUCUGCUUUGAAUUAUGCCUCCUACCUCUAUAGGCUCCUCUCGUAGAAGACAUGACUGAGAUCGUCGAUGACUGUCGUUGAUGCGACCUAUGUCUUUCUUCUCUCGGUUGAGGCGGUUAGGUAUUAU